GCCUUCGUGGUGUAACUGGAAGCACGCUCGACUCAUAUUCGAGAGGUCCAGAGUUCGAAUCCCCGCGAGGCCA
rnacentral:tRNA from 1 species